GUCAGUAGCCUAAUAUAUGACAAUUUCAUGAUAUGAAAUCUUUAUAAACACUUAGAAGCAACCUGUUAAAUAUUGAACUGAGAGGACACUCUGAACUUUAUAAAUGUAACCAGCCCUGAAACAGAGACACUGAUCAACAUAUUCAAUCUUACUAUCCAUGGUGAGUUAAAACACAUUGUUCACACUCUUACAAAUUGAAUUUCUCUACUAAAAAAGUCAAACAAAUCAUACUAACUAUUCUCUGUACAAACAUCUGCAUUUGUUGUUUUCUUCAGUCGACCUUUCAAACUUCAAGUGGAUGCCGGUGGAAACAGUGUGGGUGCUGUCCUAUUACAAGAAGAUGACCAAGGAGUCGACCAUCCCGUAUGUUACUACUCUAAAAAGAUUAAUCGUCAUCAAGUAAACUAUAGUACUAUUGAAAAUGAAGCCUUAUCUUUUUUACUGGCUCUACAACAUUUUGAAGUAUAUAUUGGUUCUAGUCCACAACCCAUUGCUGUAUACACUGACCAUAAUCCCCUCAUUUUUCUCUGAAGAUUAAUUAAAUUAAUUUGACGUAGCUGCAAUCGGGAUCCUUUGCAUCUGCAGGAAACACAGAAAAAUAGACCAAGAAGGCAAGUAUUGCCUGGUUUAACCUUCUAAAUGAGUGUGUAUAAUGUAAAAGAAUGCUCAAUAGUUUGUGUAUUUUGUUUCUGUUAUAUUUUGUUACAGUUCAGACCCAUGAUAGAGAGAUCACUUAUGCUGAUCCGACAUUUUACAAAAGACAUAAAUUGUAGUGUGUCUCUGCUGAUGCAGAUGAAUCUACUGGAGCGCCACCUACUGGAUGAACAUGUCAUUUCACUAACAGCUCCUCAGUCACAUUUGAUAUUUUAUAAUGUAAAAGUUCUUAAAAAACUUAUAUGCAUCUGUCUUUCAUAUAUAUUUUUAAUUUGACUUGUUUCUGUAGAAUGUUAAAUAAACAUGCUUUGAUAUCUUCUUUAAAUAUAUUCUUCAGGCCUCUUUCCUGACCUUUGGAGAAAAAAAAAGAGAAGCAAACAUCGCAACAUAUGCAUUUGUACCAUCAUUCAUCACUUGCUUCAUAAAUACUGAAUCUGUUCAAAGGUAUUGUAAUCUCAUGUAUAAAAAGUGUCUUUAAGUAGCUUUCCCAUGAUCACCCAAAAAGACUAAGAUAACCAUUGAGAGUAGCAGAUGUCCCACUGACAAUACAAUACACUGCUUUUUAUGAUAUUAAACAAAAUCACUUCAUAUUGCUCCUGGAUUCUGCAUUUAGUUACAUGUAUUCAUUAAACAGACACUUUUAUAUAGAAAAUAAAUAAUAGAGACACUACCAGGCCAUUUAAAACUGUUAGAUGAAAACAAUGAAUUAGUUCACUUAGUGAAUUUGCAUAUAUAUAAAAGCUGACAAGCAUUGUUCUCAUCAUGGCUGCAUGUUUGGAAACACACUGUUAAUCAGUUCCAGGAAGAUGGUGACCACUGAAGCGAGGAAAAAAAAAAAAAAAAAGGAGAAAGCUGAAAUGAGAAGCUAAGAAGAAAAAACUGACCACAGGUUGCGAAAAAAUAAAUGUAUGAACAGUCAGUUCUUCAGUUUAUAUUCCAAUCGUCUCUUAGGUUGAUCUUUAUCUCUCAUCAUGACUAUUUUAAAUUUUUUUUUUUUUUUUUUUUUGCAUUCAUGUCUGUUUAACCCAUGAUGCACAGUAUGUUUAGGCCAACAGUCAGUUCUUCUAGUUUAUAUUCCUAAUCGUCUCUUAGGUUGAUCUUUAUCUCUCAUCAUGACUAUUUAAAUUUUUUUAUUUUUUUUUUUUUUGUUCAUUCAUGUCUGUUUAACCCCAUGAUGCACAGAUGUUUGGCCUGAUCAAGUAUCUCCAUUGUCCUGCAGCUUGUAAAACUGUUGUUUGGUUUAGUUUGGUUUUGGUCCAGUGGUUUUCUGCUCUCCACAAACCACAAUGAAUCUCCACAGAGCAACUAAACCAGCGACAUCAGCCCGCAUCAGUCACUGAAUCACCACAUGAAAUGAUUUUCAGCAAGAGAUCUGAAUCUGAAUGCUUUACAUAAACAAAUACAGAAGCAAGUUACAUUCAAAUAAAAAUAGUAGAUAUUAAUUACUCAGCCUCAUUAUUGUGAUCUGGGACAGAAGACUAUUAGGUUUGGAAACACCGACCCAACACAAUGUGCUUUUGUUCUGCUGUCACUCAGCGCUGGCCUUCUGUUACUCAUUGAUUUGGAUUUACAUUUACAUUGAUGCAUUUAACAGAUACUUUUUUAUUCAAAGUGACAUAUCUAACAUCAGCUGUAGUCUUGAAGACUGAGUAAUACUUGCACAUUCUUGCAUUCACCUCAUGAUUGAUUAAAUAUACUACAUCCCAAAAUACAAUAUCCUACAGGCCUUCAUUCUAUUAUACUUACAAUUAUUCAUUUAGCACACUCUUUUAACAAGAAAAUACAACAGACACUAAUAGGCCUUUUAUUGCAAAAAUAAAAUAAAAUUUAAAUAAAUAAAUAUGAAUGACUUAAAUAUAACUACCACAUGAAAAGAACGAUCAAAAGAGAGAAAACUUGUAGUGAAUACACAUUCAAACUUUAAAAAUGUCUUUUAAAAUGUAACAAACAUUAACCUUGUCAUGUCUGUGGGUGUUUCUGCUAAAUACACUGUUAAUCAGUUCUUGGAAGAAGUUGACCAAUGGAGUGGAAAAAAAAAGUGUGACAAGCUGAGAAGAAAAACAGCUGACCACAGUCACACAGUCACAAAAAUAAACAUGUGAGCAUCAGUCAUGUCUUCAGUUUAUUUUCCACUCUGCUCUUGGUUGAUCUUUAUCUCUCAUCACGACUAAUUUAACACAUUUUUUCAUACAUGUCUGUUGAACCCCACGAUCCAGAGAUGUUUGGUCUGAUGAAGUAUCUCUAUUGUGUUCAGAUGUUAAAAUCAUUGUUUGAUCCAGUGGUUUUCAUCUUCCCACAAAACAUCAUCACACUCCACACACCGACUAAACUACCAACAUCAGCUUCAUCAGUCACUGAAUCACCACAAGAGAAGAUUUCAGCAAGAGAUGAGUUCAGUACAACAAUCUGAAUCAUUUUAUAUAAACAAAACAUGCAUUUGGUGUGAAUAUAGUAGCAAGUGAUCAUUUAAAAGCAGAUGAAAGAGAAGAACUUUAAGUGUGCAUACACUUUAACCUUUAAACAAAAUGUGGUUUAAUGCACUUCUGCUAAAACAAAUGCUGAUAAACAGUGCUUUCAGAAACUGAAGCUCUCAGGAGCCAAAAAGAUCCUGAUACUUCCGUGUUUAUGCAUGUGAACGUGUGAGAGAGAGAUGGAGUGAGAAAACCAGAGAAGAAACUCACCAGUGCAUUUAAAGUAUUGUUUUUAAUACUAAACAAAAGCAUUCAGAUCUGCUUUAUAUAACAUAAUCAAAUCUUGUUGAUAUAUCAGUUUUUAAAAAUGACAGAACAGUGCACAGAUAAUGAGAGCUUGUACAGGAUCAGGAUCAUUUGUGUUGACUGAAGAGAUAAAUGAAUCCUGAUGACUCAAUAUGACUCACUUCUGCAGGAUUACUCUUUUUAACAAUAUUAUAUCAAUUUUGAACCAUUUACAGUUGAUUUUUGAGAGGUUUAAUGUGUGAAUGAUUUAGACUACAGGUCAAAAGCUCAAACAUCACACACAGAGAGUUGAUCAUUAUAGAA
rnacentral:lncRNA from 1 species